rnacentral:rRNA from 1 species
CCAGGGCUUGCCCUGGGGCCAAGCCGCGAACGGGUGAGUAACACGUGGGUAACCUGCCCCGAUGACCGGGACAACCCGAGGAAACUCGGGCUAAUACCGGAUGUGGCGCACAGGCACAAGCCUGUUCGCUAAAGGAAGCUUCGGCCUCCGCAUUGGGAGGGGCCCGCGGCCCAUUAGCUUGUUGGUGGGGUCACGGCCUACCAAGGCAACGAUGGGUAGCUGGUCUGAGAGGACGAUCAGCCACACUGGGACUGAGACACGGCCCAGACUCCUACGGGAGGCAGCAGUGGGGAAUCUUGCGCAAUGCGCGAAAGCGUGACGCAGCAACGCCGCGUGGGGGAAGACGGCCUUCGGGUUGUAAACCCCUUUCAGGAGGGACGAAGGUUCACCGGUGAAUAGCCGUGUGGAUUGACGGUACCUCCAGAAGAAGCUCCGGCUAACUACGUGCCAGCAGCCGCGGUAAUACGUAGGGAGCAAGCGUUGUCCGGAAUCAUUGGGCGUAAAGCGCGCGUAGGUGGCCCUGUAAGUCCGUUGUGAAAGUCAAAGGCUCAACCUUUGAAAGCCGAUGGAUACUGCAGGGCUAGAGUCCGGAAGAGGCGAGUGGAAUUCCUGGUGUAGCGGUGGAAUGCGCAGAUAUCAGGAGGAACACCAAUAGCGAAGGCAGCUCGCUGGGACGGUACUGACACUGAGGCGCGAAAGCGUGGGGAGCGAACAGGAUUAGAUACCCUGGUAGUCCACGCCGUAAACGAUGGGCACUAGGUGUGGGAGGUGUCGACUCCUCCCGUGCCGUCGCUAACGCACUAAGUGCCCCGCCUGGGGAGUACGGCCGCAAGGCUAAAACUCAAA